GACGUAGGGCGCGAGCGUUGUCCGGAUUUAUUGGGCGUAAAGAGCUCGUAGGCGGUCUGUCGCGUCGGCUGUGAAAACCCGGAGCUCAACUCCGGGCCUGCAGUCGAUACGGGCAAACUGGAGUGUUGCAGGGGAGACUGGAAUUCCUGGUGUAGCGGUGAAAUGCGCAGAUAUCAGGAAGAACACCGGUGGCGAAGGCGGCUCUCUGGGCCUUACCUGACGCUGAGGAGCGAAAGCGUGGGUAGCGAACAGG
rnacentral:rRNA from 1 species